AUUAAUUUUAUUAUGUGGUUAAUAUUUUAAUAAAAAAAUGAUAUACUUUUAAUAAAGAUUUAUACUUUUCAAUGAAAAAAAUCAAUUUUUUUAUGAAUGCUUAAAUCAUAUUAAGAAAAGAAAAAAAUAAUAAUUAAGAAUAGUUGAAAAAAAAUUAUUUGAAUUUGGACUCAAUGGCCCAAAAAAAAAAAUGUGAGAAUUGGAUCUGAUUUCUUAAUCGGCCCAAAUGGCCCAAGCGAGAUCUGAUGUGGGCUGGAUCCGAAAAAAUGACCCAAUAUAGAUGUGUUAUUAAUAUUACUUGAUUGACCUUAAUAAAACAUGCAAUGUUAGUAAAGAAAAUAGCAGGUUAAGGUAAAAAGGACAAUAAAAUCAUGCUUUAAUAGUAUAGAUAUUUAAUAGUAUAGAUAUGUCAAUGAUACAAUCAGAUAUACGAAUUUUGUUCCAUAUAUCCCAAUAAUCCCCUUUUGAUAUUUGUAUUUUGCAUAAGUAUUUGGUAAAUUCAUUGUGAAAGAAGAUGUCUUGCAUUACAAGAAACUGGAGCUGGUGUGUUUAUAAGUUAUAGCCAUUAUCUCCCAGUUUUUGGCAUUGAUCGUAAAUAACCUCCCAACGAGUAAUCCUUUAGAUUUUGAAAUCAGAGUUUACUGGUAACAUAUAAAAUGUCGAUUUCAAUAAUAAACAUGUGAAAAAUACUCGAGAACAGAACAUUAUACCGAAACAAACUUUACUCUAACGCUUACGUAUCCCAAAAACAUAUUAUCAUUACCAGACACAUGCCAUCAUGAUCUUAUGUUUUUUCUUUUGGUAAAAUUUUCAAGUAAAAUAAAACAAAACAAAACAAACACAAGGUCUAGGGGAGGAGAGUCAGAGACACAUCAUGCCGUGGUGUUUCUUUGAAAUUGUGUCAUCUGAAUCUCUCUCCAGGACAAUGAUAAAUAGAUAAAACAAAAACAUGCAUAACCAUAUAUACAUACAA